UAACCUAAUAUUUUGAGACUGGUCGUUAGCUGUCAAGAAAUGCCCUUUUCGAGUUUUGAAUGUUUUUGAAAUUGAGAAAUGGUCAUAGUGUAUAUCAAUUUUUACAAUAAUUUUACUCUCGAAUUGAAGAAAAAUGAGUACAAUUGUUUCGGAGUCAAAUCUCGUUGAAAAAUGCCAUUCAAAAAUUGUCGACGAAAAUGAAUCUAAAGAAGGCAACAAAAAUGGAUUUAUAAAUGGUCUAGUGCAUAAGAAACAUAAGGCUUUAAGUACCGAAGCUAUAGAAAUUUGUAAAGAUGUUAGUAAAUCCUCGUUAAGCGAUGUAAAUAAUGUAGGUAAAUCAAGAAAAUUAAAAAAGAAGAAGCACAAAGAACAACUAGACUCUAAUGAAAAUUUGAACGAAUCAAAAAUAGACGAAAAUAGUCAUACAAAAUCUAUGGAUUACCAAAAUGAAUCAUUUGAUAAUUCAGAUGGUAGCGCCGUAAGCGGGGAUAUAAACUCACCUUCCUGUAGUAAAAUAUCCCAUAGUACUAAUGAUGAUCAGUGUGAUCCCCUGUAUAUUUCAAAUAACAUAGAUAAAUUGGUUAUUAGUAAAGUGGAUAACUUCCCAGAUGAGCAGAAAAGACAAUGUGAUAAGAAAAUUGAAUUUGUACAGUACGAAUCUGAGUUACAAAUGCCUUUGAUCAUGAAAAUUAUUCAGAAAGAUCUGUCUGAACCAUAUUCAAUUUACACAUAUAGAUAUUUUAUUCAUAAUUGGCCGAAAUUAUGUUUUCUGGCAAUGUGUGAAGAUCAAUGUGUAGGUGCUAUAGUUUGUAAAUUAGAUCUCCAUAGGAAAAUAGUCCGUCGAGGUUAUAUAGCAAUGUUGGCGGUUGAUCAAAAUUACCGUAAACUACGAAUUGGAUCAACUCUUGUCCAAAUGGCUAUUCAUGAAAUGACAAUGGGCGACGCAGAUGAAGUGGUCUUAGAAACUGAAGUAACAAACAAGCCAGCUUUAAAAUUGUACGAGAAACUAGGUUUUGUCAGAGACAAAAGAUUAUUUCGCUAUUAUUUGAAUGGUGUAGAUGCCCUUAGGUUAAAACUUUGGCUGAGAUAGAAUAGGUCCUGGCAUAAAUGCGAAGAGGAAAUAUCAUUUUGGCUGUUGAUCUUUGUUAGAGUCAAUAAGUUAUUUUCAUUACAACAAGGGUCACAAAACAGUUUACUUCAAUUGAUAAUUAUCCGAAGUGUGGUAGAUAAUUAUGAAAAUUUAUAAAUAUAAAAAAUUAACUUUGGCUUGAACUUCUAUUAUUGUGUUUGCGUGUAAUAUGAAUCAUAUUAAUUUCAAUUACUUUUGAAUCUGAUACUGAGACUUGUUAUGUUUGAUAGAUUAAAUUAUUUAUCUUGGCUUGAAGUAAAAUAAAAUUGUAGAACUAACAAAUUUUAAUUAAAACUACUUUUUUCUUUCCUCCGUAUUUUACUCAUAUUUCCAACAAAAAAAUGCACAUUUAUAAUAAAUAGCUUGUUAUAUAAAUGAAAUUUUAAUUUUAAAAGUUAUUUUUUAAAAUUUUAUUAGUUGUUGAUUGUUACUUUAUUUUAAUCUAGAUAUACAGUACAUACCUGUUUUUUCCUCAUCGAUUUUAUUUAUUUUUAGUAAGUUUCUUUUCUGAAGUAAAUUAGGUUUUUAUUCAUAAUCUUAAGUUAAUUUUUUGUUGUACCACUUCAGAGAAUAAAUUAAAAUAUUUGUUACAAUUAUACGUGUAAUGUCUUUAAUAUUUAUAAAAAAAUUUGUCUUUAUUUAAAUCAGAUAAUUUAAGAAUGGCUUUUUGUACUACAUAUUAGGUCAAGCUUCUUUGUUAAUUGAUCAAGAUAACAUGAAAAUUAUAAGGAUCGACGUGAAAAUUGUAAGUAUACUCUUCAAAGUUGUCAAAUAGACAAGUCACUUUUUCUAUAAUUAUGUAUAUUUCUGUAUAUAACAAUAUUUAGUGUCUUACUUUUUAGCUAUGUAAUAAACUGAAAUAUACCAAAUUUAUUAUCUAG
rnacentral:misc_RNA from 1 species